rnacentral:tRNA from 1 species
UAGAAUGUGGUGUAAAGGUAGCACAGAGGAUUUUGAGUUCUCUGGUUUAGGUUCAAAUCCUAAAAUUCUAG